CGGGUGAGAGGUCAGAGGGCGGGAGCGGGCAGCCGCCGGCAUGGCGGGCAGGAAGCCGCCGGGCGGCGCGCAGGGGAGGCUCGGCCGGCGGCACGCAGGGAAUAAACUUUCAGCUGCUCUGAAGAAUGAAGAUGCUGCUCAAAGGAAGGCAGCUCUGGCAGCUGCUAUGAGAAAGAAGAUUGAAUCUGAGAAAAAAGCAUUGUAUAUUGUUGAACAACUCCUGGAAGAGAAUAUUACUGAAGAGUUUCUUCUGAAUUCUGGAAAAUUCAUUACUCCAUCUCACUAUAAAGACAUUGUUGAUGAACGGUCUAUCAUCAAGCUAUGUGGAUAUCCUCUAUGUCAAAAUAAACUGGAAAAUGUGCCAAAACAGAAGUACAGAAUUUCAACAAAAACGAACAGAGUUUAUGAUAUCACUGAAAGAAAGUGCUUUUGCAGCAACUUCUGCUAUAGAGCAUCUAAAUAUUUUGAAGCUCAAAUUUCCAAAAGUCCGGUAUGGAUGAGAGAAGAAGAAAAACCACCAGACAUAGAGCUGCUGAAGGAGGGACAGAGUGGACAGUCUGGAGAAGAGGUGACACUACGUGAUGAAGUAAUUAAAGCAUCUGACAUUGAAAAUCCUAGGAUAUCUUCAAAUCCAUGUGAAUCUGGUUCUCAUGAUGCAGCCAGUGACAGUAGUAGUGAUACUGAACAAGAAUUUGUUUCUUCUGUCGUACGAGGAAGUCAGUCAAGUUCAGCCAGUCUUGCACAGCAAUUGCACAGAAACAGCAUCCUCAAAAAGAAGCAGGCUCAGAAAGUCUGUUCCAGCCCUAAAACAGAAGAGUCAGAUGUGGUAGAAGCCACUGAACUACUGUCUAAUUGUAAAUUAGAUGCUCAAGAAGAAAUAGGUGCUUGCUCUGUUCAUGAUAAAAUAACUGCAAUGCCUUCAAAAACUACUACUCUGGGGAAAUCAAGUGCUUCAGAAAACUGUGAAGAUAUUUGUGGUUCACAGAUAGUUUUUCUAGGUGUGAGCAAAAGAGGGGCAGAACAUCUUAAAAGAACACUCGCUAACUCAGAAGACUGUAAAAAACCUGAGGUGAGGCAUCCAGUUAAUUCCAAAGGAAGUUUAUUAGACGUGCUUAAGCAAACACUUAAGGAGUGGAGAACUGAGGAAACUUUAAAAUUUCUCUAUGGCCCAAACUAUACUUCUUUGUGUUCAUCAGAGAGCAUUUCAACUGCCAACCAGGAGAACGAAGAACUUGAUGAGGAUGACUUAGAUACAGCUGAUGAUCUUAACACUGUUGCUGUAGGGGAGUCUGAAAACAGUUUGAACUGUUCUUUACCUUUCACAGGCCCAGGUGGAAUAGUUAAGCCUGUGCCUAGUUACGAGAAGUUAAAAGAAGAAACAGAGUUUCUAGAACUCCGAGUAAAAGAGUUCUAUAAAGGAAAGUACAUCUUGGCUGAAGAGGCAGUAACACAUGCACAGGCAGAGGAGCAUCCAAGCAAAGAAAGAGAUGAUCAACAGGAAGAUUUCACCUUCCCACUUGUUGAUUCAAAUGCACAAAUGCAGAUUAGAAAGCGAAUUGUCCUUGACAAACUGAGAAAAGUAUUACCUACAGUUUUGGGCCCUCUUCAGAUUUCCCCAGCUGAUGUUUACACAGAGCUAAAAAAUCUUGUCAAAACUUUCCGGUUAACAAACAGAAAUAUUAUUCACAAAAUGCCUGAAUGGACUCUAAUUGCUAUUGUCUUGUUAUCUGUAUUGUCACAAAUUACUCCACUUUUCAAGAAUACUAAGACAAGCCCGAUGUACACACAGUUCCUAACUACAUUGCUGGAAGAACUGCAUUUCACAAAUGAAGAUCUGGAAAGUUUAACAAGAAUAUUUAGGAAGGACUGCCUACUUGAACAAAUAAGGUGAUCAUCUUAACACCUGCUAUCUGCAAUAGUGGCACAUAGAACAAAAGAACACCUUCAAUCACUGGAACCUUUUUUAAAUGAAAAAUGAAAUUUAGUAUUAGUUGUACUCGCACUUCUGCUUUUUCCUUUUCUUCCUACGAAUAAGAAUUUUGAAGUCUUGUGGAGAAGAUAAUUAUAACAGCAGUUGUUCAAGUUCAUCUCUACCUCGCAACCUUGAAUACAAGGGAGAUGAUACCUGAAGCAAAGCUGAUAAAGUUACCAGUACUAAGAAGCAUGUGUGCUGAGGGUGGGGAGAGGGAGGCACAGCAGCGUAGAUAUGUAUCUUCACAUCCUUAUUUCCUUUACAAACGGAGGAAGGAAGUUCCCUGCAGAUAUGAAUCACCCAACAGCUACAGCAGUGCUCCUGUGCAGAGAUGAUUAAGAAUUUUUAUGCAACUUCUUUAAUCAGAAGAGGCCUACUUGGUUGAAAAUGAAACCUCUGCAGGAAAAGGUUGGUUUUGAUUAAUUUCUCAACUUGAAAAAGUGUCUAAAUUGUCAGUGUGUUUCACUUCAACAUUUCUAAACACACAGAAAAGGGAGAGGGGGGGGAAAGGCAAGUUUAAAAGUCACUUUUUAUUUUAAGAAAUUUAAAAUUUUUCAUUGUAAGAAAUCUAAAUUAUAUCGAAUGGUAUCCAGCCAUUUUAACACAUUUUACAACAUUAUUUUUUUGUUUGCAAAAAUUUACAUUUUCAUGUCUUCCCAAAUUGUUUGUUGUAGAUUGGACUGUGUGAACACUUUAAUGUAUUUUUCUUUAGUAGAAGUACAGUAUUUUUAAAACUAAUUGGAUGAGGAGCUGUAACAGCUUUGUUCAAAAUUUCUUGCUAUACAGGAAUCCCUGAAUCAUAGCCCUUGUAUCUCUAUAGGCUGUUACCUAUCAAAAGCCAUUAUCUUUCAUAAUGCAACCUCAGGGAAGAUUUUAUUGCUGAAAGAGAUAUUCCUACUUUUAACUAAUUGUUGUAAGAAAUUGUCUAGUUUCAGAGCCUUCACCAAGAUCACAAAUUCAGCACUGAAGAUGGAUCAAACUGAUCAGUCACAGAUCACAGAAGCAGAACACAGGUUCAUGCUUAUUUUUAGUUGCUGAUUUUUUGGACUGAGCUAAUGAUCUUCUCAACACACAUUUAUAUGUAUUGAGGUGGGAUCUUUACCAUUUGAGGACUCUUUCAAGAGGAUUAUUAAUUAGCAGUUUCAUCAUCAAUUUCAAAGUGUUUUCCAAAGAUAGGUAACUCCUUUUCAGAGAAAAGGAAAGUGAAAGGGGAGUGAGAGUGACUCAACUAGGCACGUGGACCAUGUCAGAUGCAGAGCCAGAAAUACACUCUGAGCUCCUGGUACCCACACUCAUAGCCUGGGGACUAACAUGGCUUUCACCAAAAGUGAUAGCAGGCACCUUCACCAUUUUGCAAAGGAACAUCAUUUUUUUGGUAGAAGAUGUGUUUGAAAUUAAAAACGUAUUUGCUUUCUUCUUUGUGAUACAUGCUAUAAUACCUUCCUUACUCUUUUGCCUAACUCUACCCAAAGCUGAAAGAGAAAUAAAAGUUCAUUGGGCAUA